CCGCUUUAGGUUUUUCAGCAACUUAAACCUCAAAUUGAAGAAGAACGAAAAUGCUUCGCAUACCCAACUGCUUAUACACGCACCACUUCGAAAAAAAUCUUCAACCCCCUUUUCCCUGUUCAAUUUCCCCCAGACUUCUAACUUUUUUAUUUUAUUUCUAUAAACUCAACUCAUCUGCCUUCUUUUUGUAUUUCUUCUUUCUCUAUGCUUAUACAAAUUCCGUUUCCUUCGACGCCAAUGAAGACAUCCAAAGAACACCAUCACCCGACCACUGUUUCAGUAUGCAAAAAUACAUCAAAGGCAUGAGAAGCUGAUUCAGUCUGUGUUUGAGCUGCCUGGUGACUUCUUCUAUUGCAGGCAUUUAUAUUGGUUUUCCCUGACCUUGCACUACAGUCAUUAGAACCAAUAUGUCCGAGAAUGUUGAUUCCGGUGAAAUUUUUUCCUACUGUUUUUCUUCUUCUUUUUUAUUUGGAUUUUACAUUGUUUAUCCUGAGAUUGAAAUUUAUGUGUUAACAAAAAAGUGUGAAAAAGGAAGGAAAAAUGAAAAUAGCUUCUGAAAUUGGUGUUUGCAGCAUAUAUAGGUUUUAUAAUGAUAUUGAAGUAUGCUUAGUAUGUUAAAAGUGACAUAAUUUUUUUUGUUUCCAUUAUGUUUAUACUUGCCUGUAACCUGAGGUAUAUGGAGAUUCUUGAUCAAACUCCAUGUUGAAAUUGUACUUAUAUGGUCGUCACACAAAGGAACAAGCAAAGUGGUAGAAAAGAGAGGUUGAACACCCUUCCCGCUUUCCUUCUCCGAGGAAAAAAAAGUAUUGUGCCCAACUCUAAUUGAUAUUGUUCUUUAUUCGUGAAACUUAUAUAAUUAUUUGAAUCUAAGAGAUAUAUUUCUACGUCUCAUAUUCUUGAUUUUUCUUCAUCUUUAGGUUGAUAUGUUUGUAUCUUUCGGUCAUUUUAUUGUCCAUUUUGUAAGAUUUACUUAAUCUUGAAUGUGUUCACUUAAUAAAACUUUCAUCUAACAUUUAUGCAUGGAUAAAAUGACCCGUCAAUUGUUCAUGGACACAUAAUGAGAUAACGAUGUUGCUUUUCUCAUUUGGAUAUGUAAUGAGGUAAAAUGUUACCUUUCUCACACGGAUACAUAGUGAAGUAAAGAUGGUGCCUUUGUCAUUCCAGAUUGAGAUGAGAACUCUGAAAUUGGUUGGAGUAAUAUUUGAACAUUUUGAAUAUUCAUUUUAAGUAAAAGAGCGGACACUUGGACGUUUCUCUUUGUUAGCACUUUUUUUUCUCAGAAUUUAUUUUGUUGGAUUUUGGGUUAUGAUAGUAGACUUUGCUUUGUAGAUACCAUGAGAACGGCGGGCUAUUCUGAUAUCAUUGUUUUAAUACACGUCAAAAGGUAGUGGUGCUAGCAGCAAGUAUUCCAGUUGUUUAUACAAGAGUUGAUCCUGGACAACGUCGUGGUUAUAUGUUGUGAUAAAUUAGAGCUUAAUUAAUCAUCUCUUUAUUUCUUCAUCCUUCGCUUGAAACUUAGAUAUCAUGAGCUUUUAUCGAAGUAGCGUCACAAACCUUUUCAUGAAUGUUAUUUAUUAUAUAUUUUUUGGACCUUUUUUUGCCUUUUUCACUCUAUAUUCUGCCCCUUUAAAGAUUUUUGGUUCUUUUGUUUUCCCUUUAACCUUCUUAAAGUCUUCCACAUAAUGAUUGCCAAAAGUUUAAACUGAAAAAGAGGCAAUUAAGUAUUUUGGUCUUUCGCUCAGCUAUAUUUUAUUUUUAAUUCUUUUCAGAUUUUGGUGUGUGUCCUAUGCCUCUUCAUUUUUAUUAGCCCAUUUUAUGUCCAUCCUGCAUCCUUUUGCUUUUUUCUUUAUUUUCUUCUCAGUGUGUAUUUUGAUGGAAUCAGAAGGUAUCGAAUUUUGUGGGAUAAACUUUGAGAUGUAUUUACAUUGGGAGCAUAUUAUUUAUCAUGCGAAUGGUAAUUCUUAUAUGUUCUUGAAUAUGGUAUGAUCAGUAAGUGCUCCGCUUCAGUUGGAAUUAGUGUAAGUAUGAUGUAGUCCUUUUAACUUUUGUUGUUCAAUUAGUUUUGAUUGUUAUUUAGCUGUUUCAUGAGCAUUAGAACUACUAUCGAUGUUUUUUUUUCAAAAAGACUAUUUCCUAUUGUUGUUUCAGAUUUAUUGGAGAAACUUUGCUGUUGUUAUUUUAUAGGAAUACAGAAGGAUCAAGUUUUAAGUAUGGCGAGCAUUUGACAUCAAACACGUGCUAUUGAAAUUUCGGACUCAAAUCUAUUUGUGAGGAGAGUUUAUAGAAACAUCAAAUACGACUAUCUUUUGAUGAAGAAGCUAAAAGCAUGACUCUACUGGUCCAUUUGGUUGAUAUUGGAGGUGAGGUCAAGAAAAUCUCAUGAACCAAUUAUCAUUGUGGGUGUCCAAUGGGUUUAAUUAUGGUAGCCACUUCUGCUCGGAUUUUGGGAAGCCCUGAAUUUCUUUUUUGUCUGUGAAGAAGAUCAUUUAUUUCCUCUGUACUUAUAUUAGAAUGAAAGAGAAUUUAAAUGAUUUAAGGCUAGCUUAAUAAGAGUUUCAAAUGUAAUGUGGUUACCCUCCAAUACUAGAGAAUGAGGUGCCUUGAGAUGAAGCUGCUAGUGCCACAGGCUUGAUUUGUGCUGUGUAAAUCUUUGUUGUUAUAAAUGUUAUGACUAUAGCUUUUAUUAUUAAUAAAAUUCUGAGACAUGCUUAUUUCU